ensembl:misc_RNA Metazoa_SRP Metazoan signal recognition particle RNA
GCCGGGCAUGGGGGUGCAUGCCUGUAGUCCCAGCAACUUGGGAGGCUGAGGUGGGAGAAUCACCUGAGCCCAGGAAGUUGAGGCUGCAGUGAGCUAUGAUCACACCACUGCACUCCAGCCUGGGCAAAAGUGCGAGACCCUGUCUCAA